rnacentral:rRNA from 1 species
CACGUAGGGCGCGAGCGUUGUCCGGAAUUAUUGGGCGUAAAGAGCUCGUAGGCGGCCUGUUGCGUCCGCUGUGAAAGCCCGGGGCUUAACCCCGGGUCUGCAGUGGAUACGGGCAGGCUAGAGGUAGGUAGGGGAGAAUGGAAUUCCGGGUGUAGUGGUGAAAUGCGUAGAUAUCCGGAGGAACACCAGUGGCGAAAGCGGCACUCUGGGCCGAUACUGACACUGAGGCACGAAAGCGUGGGGAGCAAACAGG